rnacentral:lncRNA from 10 species
AAUCAAGUGUCUUAACUCCUUUUCAUAAUGCUUUGGAACUUGCAAUACGUCUGAGAGAAAUUCAACAUGUCUGUCUGUAUGAAAUUGGUUGGUGCCAAAUGGUAAAGCUGAAUUGCAAGGAUAAAUUUGAUUCCUUAGAGAGGCUGAAAAAAAAUAAAGGGUUCAGACAGUCCCAGUGCUAUCUGCCUGUUUAACUGCAGUUUGUCAGGAAUCCACUGGUGAUGUGGGAGGCACAGUUUGUCUUUAAAGAAGUUCACAAACUCUUCAAAAGGAAAAACAACCAAAUUGAACAGUUCUCUGUGAAAAAGUCAGAGGGAGUUUGGAAACAAACCUUAACCAAACUGCCCUGUGUGCUGGCAUCUACUGAAGUGUUAUACUUAUAGAAAGCCCUUCCAAACUGUUCUGUUCCCAACCUAUAGAGGAAUUAGUCAAAUUUCGCCAGUGAGUGGAUAAUUCAUCUAUUGGAUUAAAGUAUUUGCUUCUUGGUGCCAUACAUAAAUCUCUAGGAAACUCAGAAGAUGUUGUUCAGUUAUUUCAGUAAGCAAUUAAAGAUGAGUUGUGUCGUCAGUAUAACUUAUAUGUUCAACUGUAUGCUUGCUGUGAACUUGGCUAUUUUCUAUUAGUGAAAGCAGAGACUAGAGAGAAGCAGAACUCUACUUCUUAAGAAAAGUACGAUUGCUCUGGCUCCAACUUUGAAAACGGAUUGCAUUUUUACAUCGAUUCCAGUCUUUCUCAGAAAAUUGGUUUCUCAGUGA